rnacentral:pre_miRNA from 1 species
AUGUAGGGCAAUCUGUCUUUAAGUAGGGAUAAAUUACUCAAAAAAAAAAAAAGAAUCCUAGAUAGUUUUCUCUUCAAGUCAAGCGUCUUGU